rnacentral:rRNA from 1 species
CCUACGGGAGGCAGCAGUGGGGAAUAUUGCACAAUGGGGGAAACCCUGAUGCAGCGACGCCGCGUGAGUGAAGAAGUAUUUCGGUAUGUAAAGCUCUAUCAGCAGGAACGAGACAAGACGGUACCUGACUAAGAAGCCCCGGCUAACUACGUGCCAGCAGCCGCGGUAAUACGGAGGGGGCAAGCGUUAUCCGGAAUCACUGGGUGUAACGGGAGCGUAGACGGCUGGGCAAGCCUGAAGUGAAAGGCGGGGGCACAACCCCCGGACUGCUUUGGGAACUGUACGGCUGGAGUGCAGGAGAGGUUAGUGGAAUUCCUAGUGUAGCGGUGAAAUGCGUAGAUAUUAGGAGGAACACCAGUGGCGAAGGCGGCUUACGGGACUGUAACUGACGUUGAGGCUCGAAAGCGUGGGGAGCAAACAGGAUUAGAUACCUCAGUAGUC